CUGCGCCGUUCGUCCACCGAAGUGCCUGCGCGCCGUCCCCGCCACGCUGACGACUGUUUGCUGCGUUGUGUCGGCC
rnacentral:sRNA from 2 species